rnacentral:rRNA from 1 species
AGGACGAACGCUGGCGGCGUGCUUAACACAUGCAAGUCGAGCGGAAAGGCCCUUCGGGGUACUCGAGCGGCGAACGGGUGAGUAACACGUGAGCAACCUGCCCCUGGCUCUGGGAUAGCCUUCGGAAACGGGGAUUAAUACCGGACAUGACCCUUGACCGCAUGGUUGGGGGUGGAAAGUUUUUACGGCCAGGGUGGGGCUCGCGGGCCUAUCAGCUUGGUUGGGGGGGUGACGGCCCACCAAGGCGACGACGGGUAGCC